rnacentral:lncRNA from 1 species
ACGUCACCAUAGUUUGUUAGAGUUAGUUAGUUGUUGAUAAUUAGAGUUAGUUACAGAUAGCAGUUUUAUAAAUAGUUGUUACUCAAUUGUAAUACACAACUAUUCAUUCAUAUUCUAUAUACAAUCUGAUAUAUUCUCUCUAUUCUCCUUCAAGGGAGUUUCACAGUUUUUCGUCAUCUUAGCUAUCAUUUGCUCGUUAUAUCGAUAGUUUCAUCAUGGUAUCAGAGUCAAUUCGCUCCUGUUAGAUCUCGUAGUUCAUUCCUUUGUUCGAUUUCUUGUUGUAGUUGUCGAAAGUUCAUCAAAUCUCUGAAUUCAAUUCACAAUGGUGGAAGUUACAGAUCCCGCCAGUUCUCCUACAGGAAAUAACAUCAUUGACGUAAGUAAUCCUCUUUGCAUUCAUCCAUCUGAUGGUCCUAGUCUUUCUCUUGUUCAAGUAGAAUUUCUUGGUACUGGAUAUAGAUCUUGGAGAAGAACUGUAAGGAGGUCCCUUUCUGUGAAAAACAAGUUGGGUUUUAUAAAUGGUGAGUGUAAGAGGCCUGCACUCAAUUCCCCUCAAUAUCAACAGUGGGAGAGAUAUGAUAAUAUGGUUACGUCUUGGAUCUUGAAGUCUCUUGGAAAGGAAAUUGUUGACAAUGUAGAGUAUGUGUGUGAUGCAAUGGAGUUGUGGAAGGAAUUAGAAAAUAGAUAUGAUCAAACAAAUGGAGCAAAGUUGUAUCAAAUCCAAAAGGAAAUAAAUGAUUUGAGUCAGGGUCUACUACACUAGAAUGAAGAAGAUGUGGGAAGAAUUAAACAAUAUGAAUGCCAAGGAUCAAUGUAGCUGUGGAGGAAAGGAAAAUAUACACAAGGCAGAACAGGCCAGGAGGCUAAUUCAAUUUCUCAUGGGAUUAAACGAAAUUUAUACUAUCAUUAGAGGGAGUAUAUUGAUGAUGAAUCCCUUGCCAUCUAUGGCUCAGGCUUUUGCCCUUUUAGUUCAGGAGGAAAAAAAAGGGAAUUCAAGCCAAGUAAUCAAAUGUUUGCAGAAGGAAGUUCAAUGAAUUCAUCCAUGAUUCCUUCUGUGAAUGCUAGCUCAUCAAGUUCCUCAAAUGGAGGACAAUAAUUCAGGACAAAUUUUUCCACUUCUAGUAACAACAAUGGCAGAUCAAGACCUUAUUGUGAACACUGCAGAAGGCCAGGGCACACCAAAGACAGAUGUUAUAAGAUACAUGGUUAUCCUCAAACUAACAAUCAAUAGAAUGGACAAAAUAGAUACAACAAUACUCCCAAUCAGAUAUCCCAANNNNNNNNNNNNNNNNNNNNNNNNNNNNNNNNNNNNNNNNNNNNNNNNNNNNNNNNNNNNNNNNNNNNNNNNNNNNNNNNNNNNNNNNNNNNNNNNNNNNNNNNNNNNNNNNNNNNNNNNNNNNNNNNNNNNNNNNNNNNNNNNNNNNNNNNNNNNNNNNNNNNNNNNNNNNNNNNNNNNNNNNNNNNNNNNNNNNNNNNNNNNNNNNNNNNNNNNNNNNNNNNNNNNNNNNNNNNNNNNNNNNNNNNCUGAAGGAAACCAUGUUGCUAGUGGUGCAGCAAACUUUGCAAGUAUGAUAGCUUGUAGCUCUUCUAUUGAUUUUGACAAACAUUCAUGUGGCUGUCUCAAAACAAAGACUGAUUUAUGGAUAAUAGACUUAGGAGCCACACAUCACAUGACCUUUAACAAAAACCACUUGUCUAAUAUCCUCAUACUGCCAUACCCUAUGUUGGUUAGAUUACCUAAUGGAUAUAAAGUAAAAGUAACUGAAGUUGGAACUGCAAAACUUUCCUCAAGGAUCACAUUGCAUAAAGUCCUUUUUGUCCCUUCAUUCAAGUAUAACUUGGUUUCAGUAAAUUCCUUAGCAGUCCAACUUAAAUGUGUUGCUUCCUUUUCUAAUUCAUCUUGUGUUUGCAGGGCCCUUCAAUGAAGAGGCCUCUGGAGAUUGGUAAGGUGCAUGAAGGACUUUACCUUUUCUUUGUUCAAGGUGUCUACAGAAGAGCUGUUCUAUUGCUUCUCCAAGGGAUUCAGAUAAAUGUAGCAGUCCAAAUAGUGUUCUCCCAUAGGCUGUCAAUGUUUUUCCCAUUCUUGUUAUUGUAGUCCUUAAAAGGCUUAUUUUUCAUGUCAUGCAACACCAUCUGUAAUGAACACUACUCCAGUUAUAUUGAAUACUAUUCAUAAUAAAAGUGCUUCUGUUUCCUUACCUAAAUUGUCUUGUACAUCUAAUAUGACUCAUAAGUUCAACAGUAACAUAGAUCUAUUGUGGCACCAAAGACUUGGUCAUGCUCCAUUUGGAAAAAUGAAGAGUCUAUCCUCCAUUCCAAUAAGGUUCUCACCCAAACAAUCUUUUACCUGCAAUAUAUGUCUUAUGGCAAGGCAAACUAGACUAUCUUUUCCACCUAAAACUCAUACAACUACCAAAAUAUUUGAAUUACUUCAUGUUGAUCUAUGGGGGCCAUAUUAUGUGGCAACUCAUGACAACUUCAAGUAUUUCAUUACCUUAGUUGAUGACUUUAGUAGGUGUACUUGGACACAUUUGUUGACCUGCAAGAGUAAUGCAUUACACAUCAUAAAGGCUUUUGUCAACAUGGUUGAAACUCAAUUCCACACCAUUAUCCAAACUAUAAGAUCAAACAAUGGCCUAGAGUUUGUUAACAAUAAAUCUAUUCUUUUCUUUCAGUCUAAAGGUAUCCUACAUCAAAAAUCAUGUCCCUACACACCACAACAAAAUGGUGUAGUAGAGAGAAAACACAAGUAUCUCUUGGAAACUGCAAGAGCACUUCUUUUCCAGUCUAAAUUGCCCAUAAAAUACUGGGGGCAGUGCAUACUCACUGCAACUUUCAUCAUUAACAGGCUACCAUAUGUCACCCUCCAAAAUAGGUGUCCAUUCACAUUGCUCUACAAUCAAGAGCCUAAAUAUUCUCACAUGAAAAGUUUUGGUUGUCUGUGCUAUCCCACCACACCUAAACCUCACAGAACCAAGUUUGAUCCAAGAACUACCCCUCAUGUGUUUAUAGGUUAUCCUUUUGGAACCAAAGGAUAUAGAGUGUUAAGUUUGGCCACUCACAAGAUUUCUGUGUCAAGAGAUGUUAUUUUUCAUGAAACAAUGUUUCCUUUUUCCAUAAGCAGUCAAGCCACUAAGUCUCAUCAGGGUCCUCAGCUUGAUAAGUUUGUUGAUUUUUCUACUCUUAUAGUUGAUCAGUCCACCUCAAUUCCUUCUGUUGAAAUUCACAAUGAUCUUGAGAGAAGUGGACCUGAAAAUGUCAAUGUGCAAUGUGAUCCUGAACACAUAACUGUUGAAUCUUCACAGCCUUCCCAUGUACCACAUGUUAAAAGAUCACCUAGAAUCACUACAGUACCCACUUAUCUUCAUGACUACCAGUAUAAUACACAUCAACCUCAUCCACCACAUUCAUUACAUGCCUCAUUUUCAAACCACCGUCACAUUUCCUCUGAUGUAUUGUAUCAUGAUAGUCAGUCUCUUGUAUUAAAUAUAUACAAUGACUGUGAGCCAUCUUCAUAUGAUGAGGCAUCUAUGGACCCUGGUUGGCAGGCAGCUAUGACACAAGAGCUAUCUGCCCUCCAUAGUAAUCAUACUUGGGAUCUACUACCUCUGCCCCUUGGCAAGAAGACUAUUGGUUGUAGAUGGGUAUACAAGAUUAAACACAAGGCUGAUGGUAGUGUUGAGAGGUACAAAGCUAGGCUAGUUGUUAAAAGGUACACUCAACACUUUGGGAUAGACUACACAUAAACUCUCUCAUGUCAUCAAAAUGACCACUGUAAGGGCCUUAAUUGCUACUGCUGUAAAAAGGCAUUUGAAUACUUAUCAACUAGAUGUAAACAAUGCUUUUCUUCAUGGUGAGCUGCAUGAGGAAGUGUAUAUGGCCAUUCCACCAGGUUUAGAGAUUCCUACAAAGAGGUUGGUGUGUAAGCUAAACAAGUCAUUGUAUGGUCUCAAACAAGCCAGUAGGCAAUGGUAUGCAAAGUUGUUUGAUUCCCUCAGUUCAAGGGGUUACAUUCACUCCUUAAAUGAUUACUCCUUGUUUUACAGAAAAAAGGGUGCCUCCACUGUGUUCAUAGCUUUUUAUGUAGACGAUAUCCUACUAACAGGUUGAAGAAAUUGAUAGUCUCAAAGGAUUCCUCCACAACCAUAUCAAGAUAAAAGACUUGGGUAAGCUACAUUACUUCUUAGGCCUGGAGAUUCUUUAUACUGAUGUUGGGCUUCUCAUUUCACAAAGAAAGUUUGUCCUAGACCUUCUGAGAGAAAACCAUUGUUCUGAGUACUCUUCUCUUAGUUCUCCACUAGAUGCAACAGUUAAACUCAAGGAAAAUGAGGGGAAGCCUAUUUUAGAUCCCAGUACAUACAUAAAAUUGGUUGGUAAGUUGAAUUUUGUUACCAAUACCAGACUGGACAUUGCAUAUGGAGUACAACAUCUUAGCCAGUUUAUGCAAGAUCCUAGAGAGCCUCACAUGCAAGCUGCAUAUCACAUGCUCAGAUAUCUUAAGAAAGAUCCCACAUUAGGAUUGCUUAUGACCUCUACUGAUGACUAUAAUGCUCGAGCCUUUUGUGAUUCUGAUUGAGCAUCAAGCCCUGAUUCCAGGAAAUCUAUUACUGGAUACAUUGUGCUCCUUAGUUCUAGUCCUAUAAGUUGGAAGUCCAAGAAACAAGAAACCAUCUCACUCUAUUCAGCUAAAGCAGAAUACAGGUCUCUUAGGAAAGUAGUUGGUGAAUUGGUCUAGCUAGAUAGAUUGUUUGAGGAGCUUACAGUUUAUAGAAGUGGUCCAUUUCCUGUUUAUUGUGACAGUCAAUCAGCCUUACAAAUUGCCAGGAAUCCUGUGUUCCAUGAGAGAACCAAACACAUUGAGAUUGAUUGUCAUUUUGUAAGAACCAAGCUCCAAGAAGGUCUUAUUUCAUUGCAUCAUAUUGGAACUGAUCAUCAACUGGCUGAUAUCCUUACUAAGUCACUUACAGGAAUCAAACAUUCAGCUGUUUUAGACAAGUUGGGUGUGUUGAUCCCACCUCCAACUUGAGGGGGGAUGUUGAGAUGAUAUUUGUAAAAGAGGAUGGAAGGUUCUAUUCUCCACAUCACCAUAGUUUGUUAGAGUUAGUUAGUUGUUGAUAAUUAGAGUUAGUUACAGAUAGCAGUUUUAUAAAUAGUUGUUACUCAAUUGUAAUACACAAUUAUUCAUUCAUUUUCUAUAUACAAUCUGAGAUAUUCUCUCUGUUCUCCUUCAAUGGAGUUUCACAGUUUUUCGUCAUCCUUGUUAUAUCGAUAGUUUCAUCAGAUUUCACAUAAUACAUAUCAGCAAAUAUCAAUAAAAGCAAACAUAAUAACGACUAAAAUAGAGUAAUUUUCCGGAUUUUCAUGGCUGUUUUUGCCAUUUCAGUUCGGAUGAGUUUCGAGGAAGCGAGAGGCACAUAGGUAAAGGGAGGAUGCACAUUUUCAAAGUCUAGCGGCAGCAAGAGACAAUGCGGUAGCAAGAGUCUUUCGUGGAGACUCCAUUUUUGCUCCCAAAGUGUACGUGUACAAGAAUAAGGAUUAGAAAUGCAACUUACUGUUAGGUGAUGCAAAUAUACAUUUUAAUUAUUCAACUCCAACAUAAAUACCUUAACAGUGAGCAUAAAGUAAAUUGUAACACCUAACCAACCAAUACGUACAUUCUUCUAUAACUUUAGGUUGAUGGAAUAAAAGAAAAUUCCUUUAACUAAUAUAUUCAUGAGCAUGGUAGGACAAUAAACAAACAUCUCAUCUAAUCAAGUUUUAAAAUUAAGCCAAGGUAACUUUUAUCGUCAUUAAAUUGGUAUUAAUCAUCACAACACAUUAGACAAGGAAACAAUAGUUUCACGUGAACAAAAUAUAUAAACAGAUUUAUCCAUUUAAUAUCAAAGGCCUAUCUGUGAGAAAGGGUGUUAUAUAUAGGAAGCAUACCUGUGUUCUGCAAAUUAUUUUCUCUUAAAGGGGCCAAGUCUCAUAAUAAAAGUUAUGUUAAUCCAAGUAAACAAAUAGACAUCUAACUUUAAAGGGAAAAGGUAGAAGUACCUCCCUAGAGUAUGACCCAAAUCUCAGAGACACACCUUAAUUAAACUAAGGUCCUAUUACCCCCCUGAACUCAUUUUAUUUGUAAUUUUGUACACCUUUUUGGUUUACGUGGCAUCCAAAUAUAUCCCACGCGCCUCAACUGCGUGGAGUCACGGGGUGUGCCACAGAAGCCAAAAGGUGCACAAUAUUAUAUAUAAAAUGAGUUCAGGGGUAAUAGGAUCUUAGUUUAGGUAAGGGGUGUCCCUGGGAUUUCGAUCAUAGUCUAGGGGUACUUGUGCCUUCUCUCAUACUUUAAAAGAUGGCACAACUUUAUGUGAGAAAAAAUAAGAUUUUCUUUUUUAUAACCUCAAAACUCAAUGACGUGUUCAGGCGAAAAAAAGAGAAGAAAAAAGCUACAUUGUUUAUACUAACAAAUGUAUCGAGUAGAAAAAGCAAUUUUCUUUUAGGAUAAACCUUACGACAUCUAGAACAAAACGUAGAGCUCAAAAGAAUCGGCAGAAGAACAUUUACUCAAACACUCAACCAAUAUUCUUUUUCUUUUAAUAGAGCCACCAUCUAUAAUGUGGAUUCGUAUGUGCACAUGAUUUAAAUCACGACUUUUAUGAAAAAGAGUAUAAAUUGCAAAUCAUGUUUCACAACAAUAAAAAACAUUUUCUCCAGAUUUGCUAAAAUAGCAUUGCUAGCUUAUUUUAUCCUUUUAGAUACCAAUUUCGAAGCAGAACAAGAGUAUAGCAAAUUCUAACUAGUCUCAAUAAUAGAAAUUCGACGAGCAACAAAGUUAAUCACAUAUGUGAUGAGUUGACGAACCAAUAAUUUCUCUGUUAGGAUUUCUACUUUCAAUUAGUCAUAUAGCAUACUAAAAACAUAUUAUAACAAAUACUUGAAACAAAAAAUUAACAAAUAGCAAGACAUUCAAAAGACUAUUUUUGCUCUAUGAAUUAAAUAAGGUGAUAGAGGAGAAACACGGACCUUCUCAGGGGCAACGAAUUAGUGCUUUUGAGUCUUAAACUCCGCUAUCGAUCCAGACAGAUUUUCCAAAGGACGUAGCAAAGAACUUUAGUCAAAAGAAACUCAGAAUAUAGAAGCUCUAAGCUUAAGGUUGUAGAAAAGACUUUUUGAUGUCCAAAUCUCUGUCUGUUGAGAAAGUUUAAGAGUCCUAUUUAUAGUGAAAAACCAGGGCUCAUCUAGUUUGAAAUAUGGGUUGCUCGAAUUCAAAAAUAACAAUAAAACAAGAAGUCACUUCUUUGAAUAGAUUGAGAGGCAACGAAGAUAAGAUGAACAUGAAGUAAUAAAUGUAUAAACCUAACAUUUGAAUCUGAAUCGCAGAUUUUUAAUUGUAUUUGUUGUUUUCAAAAGAUUUGAAAAUGUGAACGUUUGAAUUCAGUCAUUUUAGAGAAGCUAGGGCACUAUUUAUGUUCACAGAUGAUUGAUAGGGGUGGCAGAUCUGAGCGUAAAAUCUGGCGGAUUCUCUGGGUGAGGGAGUUGAGUUGCAAGACAGGCUUAGGUUUUCA